ACACCUCAACUCUCAUGGUUUGCCGUGAUGAGCUUGGACUUUGGAGGUCUUGCCGGCAUAACUGUCGGCUCCUCUCAAAUGAAUCAGCUUCCCAGUGUUUGGUGGCGUCACAGGUGUGAUAACUAUCUACGCUUGUGGUCUUCCAUCAGGUUACUUCAGCAAUGGAGGUUCACUGGAGCUCACAGACGUCUCUCCUCAGGGAGGACAGCUUUUUGAAC
rnacentral:misc_RNA from 1 species